AUUGAACGCUGGCGGCAGGCCUAACACAUGCAAGUCGAGCGAGCGGCGGACGGGUGAGUAAUGUAUGGGGACUGCCCGAUAGAGGGGGAUAACUACUGGAAACGGUGGCUAAUACCGCAUACCAUCGGAUAACCCAGAUGGGAUUAGCUAGUAGGUGGGGUAAAGGCUAACCUAGGCGACGAUCUCUAGCUGGUCUGAGAGGAUGAUCAGCCACACGGGGACUGAGCAACGGCCCAGACUCCAACGGAGGAAGCAGUGGGGAAUAUUGCACAAUGGGGACAAGCCUGAUGCAGCCAUGCGGCGUGUAUGAAGAGGGCCUUAGGGUGGUAAAGUACUUUCAGAGGGGAGGCGUUACCCACAGAAGAAGCACCGGCUAACUCCGUGCCAGCAGCCGCGGUAAUUC
rnacentral:rRNA from 1 species